GUUAAUGUAGUAAACCCAGGCCUUGCAGAAGACCUAAACUCUUCUUACAGAGGUUCAAAUCCUCUCUUUAACU
rnacentral:tRNA from 1 species